rnacentral:rRNA from 1 species
UACGUAGGGUGUAAGCGUUGUCCGGAAUUAUUGGGCGUAAAGAGCUCGUAGGCGGUCUGUCGCGUCUGCUGUGAAAACUCAGGGCUUAACCCUGAGCUUGCAGUGGGUACGGGCAGACUAGAGUGCGGUAGGGGAGACUGGAAUUCCUGGUGUAGCGGUGAAAUGCGCAGAUAUCAGGAGGAACACCGGUGGCGAAGGCGGGGUCUCUGGGCCGUAACUGACGCUGGAGGAGCGAAAGCAUGGGGAGCGAACAGG